CGGAGAAAGCUGCGACCCAGCCGCUGAGCGACCCCUGCCCUCAAACGCGAGGCAUGAACGGGCUGUCCGCGCCGCGGCGAGGCCGAGAGCACCCGUUACCGGCGGAGUCCGGAGCGGCGCGGACGGAAGCCAGUUACUCAUCUCCCUGUCUCCAGCCCUGUGACUGUCCAUCACUGACUCCACCAUGCCAGAGCAGCCUUCUGAAGCUCUGCAUCUGAUCUUCAUCACUUUCCGCUCCCCAGGUUCUGCUUCUGUGGAGACCCAACCUACAAACCACUGCAAAGAACAGAACACCCUCUCAAAUGAAGAGUGUAAACCCUGGCAUGGAGCAGCUAACAGAAUCCCAG